ACAUGAAGAAGUCAAAUAUAGUAAAUAAAGUUUGGAUUGAGACAAAUCAAAGCAGCACCUGUCGCUAUAUUUUUCUCUAAAAACAUUAUUAACAAUUUGAACCCGCACCCUCCUCAUCUGUUGCCGUUCGGUCGUCAGCGAUUGUCCGGUGAACCUGUUCUUGGUUUUGUUAGUGUUCUGCAAUAAUUGCUGAUGCUGCAGCUCAUUUAAGCUGCAGCUUGAGGUUACUACGAUGGCCUCCGCGUAUAACCAAAGUGAUGGCGGCAGAUUUGGAGAUACCAAUAUUGUUGGGCAUGAAAAAUGUGAAAGCUACUUUCUUUUCCGAGGCGAAACUACCCUUGGAGAGGGUUUUCGGACCUUCUUAUAUUUUCUUGGUCUUGCUUAUUGUUUCAUUGGAUUAUCAGCUAUAACUGCUCGUUUUUUCCGGUCUAUGGAGAAUGUUGUUAAGCAGUCGAGGAAAGUGGUGGAGAUUGACCCAUACACGAAUGCUGAAGUUAUCAGAUAUGAGAAGGUGUGGAAUUAUGCAAUUGCAGACAUUUCUUUGCUUGCCUUCGGGACCAGCUUUCCUCAGAUUUCACUAGCUACUAUUGAUGCCAUACAAAAUAUUGGCAACCUGUAUGCUGGAGGGAUGGGUCCUGGAACACUUGUUGGCUCUGCUGCAUUUGACCUUUUUCCAAUCCAUGCUGUUUGUGUUGUGGUUCCGAAAGCUGGAGAAUUGAAAAAGAUAGCUGAUAUAGGAGUUUGGCUGGUGGAGCUGUUUUGGUCUUUCUGGGCAUACAUUUGGCUUUAUAUAAUUUUAGAGGUAUGGACCCCAAAUGUCAUUACGCUUUGGGAAGCCUUAUUGACGGUAUUGCAAUAUGGUUUACUGCUAAUGCAUGCUUAUGCUCAAGACAAGCGCUGGCCUUACUUAUCUCUUCCUAUUCCAAGAACGGAAAGGCCAGAGGAGUGGGUGCCGGGAGAGGUCCCUUCUCCUACGCACGAGAACAAUGUGUAUGGAGAAGAAAAUAGGAAUGUUGUUGACAUAUUCUCUAUCCAUUCAAAUAAUGGUACAGGUCCAGUCUAUCAAAAAGUGCCUGUAACAGAUGACGCAGCUGAAUCCUCCAACAAACAUUUUCACCAGGAGAAAGAUUUACAUGUGCUUUCUCUUUGGAAAGAGCAAUUUGUGGAUGCACUCACGUUGGAAAGUCUAGAAACAAGAAAACUAAACAGUAUUCAUCUACGGGUAGCAAGAAUUUCCUGGCAACUAAUCCUUGCACCUUGGAGACUUUUGUUCGCUUUUGUGCCUCCAUAUCAUUUUGCUCAUGGCUGGAUUGCCUUUAUUUUCUCUCUACUAUUCAUCAGUGGAAUAGCUUACAUUGUAACAAAGCUCACUGAUGUCAUAAGCUGUGUCACAGGAAUAAAUGCUUAUGUCAUUGCAUUCACAGCAUUAGCUAGUGGAACUUCAUGGCCGGAUUUAGUGGCGAGUAAGAUUGCUGCUGAACGCCAGACAACAGCAGACUCUGCCAUUGCAAACAUCACUUGCAGCAAUUCGGUGAACAUAUAUGUAGGAAUCGGUGUUCCAUGGCUUAUUGACACUGCCUACAAUUUUUUCAUGUACAACGAACCGUUGCGUAUUCAAAAUGCUGCUGGACUCAGCUUUUCAUUGCUUGUUUUCUUCUGUACUUCUAUAGGCUGUAUUGCUGUUCUCGUGCUCAGGCGUUUGACACUGAAAGCAGAACUUGGAGGGCCAAGGAUCUGGGCAUGGGUAACCUUUGUGUAUUUCAUGUUGCUUUGGAUUAUUUUUGUCGUGCUCUCCUCCCUCAGAGUCUCUGGCAUUAUUUGAUAGAAAGCUUUUCGCUAAAAUUUAUUUCCGUUCUUUUUGGGUUGCUUUCCAUUAUUUGAAAGGUCUCUUGUAUCCAUUGAAUUCUCUCCAAUUAAGGAUCCCAUUAGCUUGAACUAACCCCGAGAAAGAUCCAGUGCGCAUGUAUUGUAAUUUGCUAAGUGUGGGCAAGACUUUAACAGGCUGCUCGAUUUGGCCAUUCAUGUUUGUUUUCACAAUGGCCAAGCAUGUAACUUUUUGUGUAAAGCCUUGAAAGCAGAUGUGAGACACCAAGGUGCAUUGUCUACAGAAGAAUCUUGCUCCAAAGCAAAAAAGGAUCACCUGACAACAGCGUUGGAGGCCAGCACAUGCAGAGAAUAGGUAAGAUGGCAAGAACAUAAAAUCAAUGCAUCCAUCUUUCAUCCCUACAGCCCCGCGGCAUGGCCGUAAAAACUAAAUACUAAUAUUGUUUACGUGAAGUGGUGAUUUCUCAGUUCAUCUGCAAGCUGUGGAAGCAGCAGAACUGUCAAGGACUGUACUAUCAAGUACCAACACCAGAUGACAUCUAACAAUUUGAACCACCUCAUUCAAGAUGCUAGCAAACCUAGGUCUCAAUAAUCUUGACGAGCUUCUGGGGUUGAAAUCCGAUAAACGCUAGGACCUAACACUGCAGCUGAUGAUGGAAAAUGAGAUGUAACAGCAUGUAUAAACAGCUACUUUCGUCUUUUUUAGGUUUCUAAGUUUUAUAGCGUUCUCAUGGAUAAAAACCAUUCAGUAAUUCGGAUUACACGCGACAAAUACUUAAAAGCAUUUGUCUCAUUGUCUGACUUGGCUAGGGGAUCAACUACCCAAUUUGUGAAAAUAUAAUUCCAGUUUUGCAAGGUGAAUUUGAUCCUCAGCGAAAAGCAGGGGAAAAAAAAAAAAUACUUAAUGCAUAUUCACAAGAGGGCACGUGAAUAUAAAAUUCUCUAAAUAAUAAGGCAGGAGUCCCAAUUCAACCAAUUUAUUGCAGCAACUCCCGUUAACAAUCCUACUACAACGUCUAGCGGCUCCAUUCAUCAGUGGGUAGGAAACGAUCCCCCAAUUCAGGACAAAUUUCCUUUUCGCCAACAAAACAAUGUCUUGCCUAAGCAAAUGCACCCGUGGUGCAAGCUGUGGCUGGAGUUGCUUCCAGCUGUUUCCUUGGAGCACUGUAUUUCUUGGUAAUGAAUCUG